GGGCUUGUCGAUCAGCCGGUCGAUCGUCGAACUGCACGGCGGGCGCCUGACCGCGGAGCCCGUGGCACCGCGUGGGAGCCGGUUCGAGUUCGUGCUGCCGGUCAUGCCCG
rnacentral:tRNA from 1 species